AAGUGUACUUUAUUUCUAUUUCAAGAUACGUCUUUCCAUUGGUCUUGAAAACAGCGAAGAUUUAAUCAAUGAUUUAGAUGAAGCACUGAAAGCUGCAUGUGGUAAGUGAUUUACAUAGUCGUACUGAUGGAACGCCCAAAUAGUGAGAUAUGACUUCUUGUUAUAAGUUGUUGUGGUAGUACAAGUAAAUACUGGAACCAACCUAAACCCCAGAUGAAGAUCCCCAAAUCUCCAGAAUACUGAAUAACGCUCUACCAAUCGAGGUUUGGAUUCGAAUGUAAAGGAACAAAUGUAAAAUUAUUCUUUUCGCAUUAAGACCAAAAUAUUAGAAAACACCGUAAAAUCGAGCAGAUUCUGCGCAGAUUCUGCGCAGAUUCUGCGCAGAUUCUGCGCAGAUUCUGCGGAUGUGCAGAUUCUGCGGCUUGCCGUUUUGCCGCUCUCAAACGUGAAGCGUAAACCAACACUAUAAACUUGGGACAACUUGUCACCAGUACUCAGUUUAAAUAUCCAAGUUUACGCUUCCAAAACGUACAGGAGUCCAAUUAACGCUCAAUAGGUGGAGCGUUGGGCUAGCAUUCCGGUAUGGCAGACGGUCUACCUGCAUGCAUUGGGCUGGAUCCCCCUUGGUCUUGGGUGUAUUGAGGGGGGAGGGGUGCUGAUCAUGCUUAGAUCUAAAGAUCCCUGGAUCCAAAAAUAGGGAAAUUAGUCCUGACUCUGCAAGGCUAGAUGGUGCCCCACCCUCUCCGAAAACCCACCCCAGACUGUUACUUUUUCUGCCCUCUGUAUUUUAUUAACAUAAACUUACAUUUUGUGCUUUUGUAUAGCUUAAAGUAAUUUGUGUACAUGAUGUGCUUGAAGAUCAAAAUUAUCUUUAUUAACUGGAAAUUCAAUAGUAUAUAUCAGAUAUUAAAUCUCACCAGCCUAAAGGCUCUAACAACUAAAAAAUGUCAAUGUAUUUAAGAUAUAAACUAACUAGCGUUUGUAUUUACUGUAGUAAAUUAUUUAAAAACACAUAGAAUAUCACCCUUGAGAGAUGACUUUAGGACAUGGAUUGUAUUAACUUCAGUUCAUUAUACAUGGAUUUAUUGUACUGGAUUGGACUGGCAUGUAAUAAGAGGAAAAUAAGAAAAUGCUUAAUGGUGU